UACAGAGGUCUCAAGCGUUGUUCGGAUUCAUUGGGCGUAAAGGGUGCGUAGGCGGCGCGGUAAGUCGGGUGUGAAAUCUCGGGGCUUAACUCCGAAACUGCAUUCGAUACUGCCGUGCUUGAGGACUGGAGAGGUGACUGGAAUUUACGGUGUAGCGGUGAAAUGCGUAGAUAUCGUAAGGAAGACCAGUGGCGAAGGCGGGUCUCUGGACAGUUCCUGACGCUGAGGCACGAAGGCCAGGGGAGCAAACGGG
rnacentral:rRNA from 1 species